rnacentral:rRNA from 1 species
UACGUAGGGUGCGAGCGUUGUCCGGAAUUAUUGGGCGUAAAGGGCUCGUAGGCGGUCUGUUGCGUCUGGAGUGAAAACUCGGGGCUUAACCCCGAGCCUGCUUCUGAUACGGGCAGACUAGAGGUAUGCAGGGGAGAACGGAAUUCCUGGUGUAGCGGUGAAAUGCGCAGAUAUCAGGAGGAACACCGGUGGCGAAGGCGGUUCUCUGGGCAUGUCCUGACGCUGAGGAGCGAAAGUGUGGGGAGCGAACAGG